rnacentral:rRNA from 1 species
AAUGGCCUACGGGGCGCAGCAGUCGGGAAUAUUGCGCAAUGGAGGAAACUCUGACGCAGUGACGCCGCGUGCAGGAAGAAGGUUUUCGGAUUGUAAACUGCUUUAGACAGGGAAGAAACAAGACAGUACCUGUAGAAUAAGCUCCGGCUAACUACGUGCCAGCAGCCGCGGUAAUACGGAGGGAGCAAGCGUUAUCCGGAUUUAUUGGGUGUAAAGGGUGCGUAGACGGG